UCCUCUUCCUACAGGGAGAACAUCGGGGUUGGAUUACAUUCCAUCCUAAUGGCCUAUCUGUAAUUUCUCUGGCUCUUUAAUGACCGACCCUGUCUCCAAUUAUGGAAACAUUGUGGAGUGUCUUGGGGGGUUAGAGUUCAACAUAUGAAUUCCAGGGAACACGACUUGCCCAAGCAGCAAGCACAUUGUUCAAACCAGGCAGGCAGCAUUGUGGGCCUGCUGUUAGCUGGAGACACCUGCCCCAGGCACAGCCCCACAGUGCUCAUAGAGUGUUCUCAGGAGCACUUUCACCCUCCUAUCAGUUCUGAAGUCAAUGGAGAAUACAUUCAUGUCCCAUUUCACAGAGAGGAAGACAAAGGUCCUCAAAGAACUAGCUGACCCCCAAACCUGGCUGCCAGCAAGUGAGGGUCACCAGGGUUGAGUGCCGUGUAUCCUCUCCCACUGCAGAACAGUUUUAAUGCCUGGGUCUCAAACCGGAACAUCAGUACCCAGAUGAUGCCUGGACUUGCCAGAUGAUCUCUGUUUUCCUAUCAGUCAAAUAUGGGUAUUGAUGAAAGUCCCUGAUCCUCUCCCCAAGCUCUAGAGGUUUGGGGGAGCCUGAAGAGAGCUCCAUGCAGCAGAGACCCUAGGAAGUGUCCUUAUUUUCCCUGCAUGAUUUUGCUGUGCGCCCUGGCAAACCCCCAUCUCUAACUAAUCCCUUAGCUAGGUCUAAACCACGUUUACCGGAAGGGCUGAUGAGUCCU
rnacentral:lncRNA from 1 species